UUUCUUUUUAAAACAGUUGGAAUACAAGAUACCCAUCACACUGAUUUUAUGACUAAAAACAACAGAAAACAGAACAGUUCACUAUGUGAGGAUAUUACAUCUCAUCUGACCAUCAUAUUUUGCGCAUCAGAAUGGCUCGUUGGAGGCGGUUUUCAAGGUGAUCUUCACAAUGUCGCUGAGCCUUUCAGAAGCUGGGAGAGCCACAGAGCAACAGGGACAGAGCAACAAUCUAGAGAAGGAGAAGGAAGGGUGAAGUCUGUGCCUGUGUGACUGGGCACUAGCCCUGGAGAUAAGUUAUGAGAUCAAGGCCAAAUAGAAAAUAACAGUCAAAGUACAACUAUACGAGUCUGCUGAGUCUCCCUAACAAUAACACGAAAAAACAGCACACCAUCAUUUGAAGACAAUCCUGUGUGUCCGUUCUCUGGGAGCAAAAUAUGCAGUAUAAACUGGAGAAGAGCAAGGAAACUAUUCUCGUUAUAAGGGAGCAUGCAACGGAAGGAAGUAAAACAACUGACAAACUUGUGCUAUUGUGUCCUUUGUCGUGUUGGGGAAGCACAGUUGUUUGCACAAUGUUACAAGGACCAGCUAUUCUACAUGUCAAAUUAAGAACUAAAAGAGGUCAUGGAGAAGACGUAGAAGAUUAAGAUAUUUUGAUCUGCCGAAAACAAAUCUUUGUAUCUUUCUAAUUGUCCUAACAAUAAGCAUUUAAACUACAGUCACUUUAUAAAAUGUCAGAGGCUGCCAGCAAUGGUUUGAAAUAAAAGGUCUCCGCGUUGGAAAAUCUGUGAAUGGAGACGAGAAUUAAGUGGGACUAUAACCAUGUGACUGAUUCAGGGACACUAUAGCAACGUCGCAGAUCAAUACAGCCCAUAUUCAUACUGGGUUUUUGAUUUUCAGUUUGGAAAGAUACGGGAAUGUAAUAAAAUUGAAAAAUCAAUUCCCUAUAUGUAGAAGGUUUGCAUAGCAUAAUCACAAGAAAGGAUGUCAUGUGUCUUAUUGUAUUUUUGCACAAUAAAGCUUUUUAUUUAUAGUCAUUUGUAUAACUCCCACGGAAACAUAACGACGUGACAAUGGCAAGAAAACAGAGAAUUGUGUUACUGGGCAAGAGACGGAGAUGGAAAAGAUGUGGGAAUACAUUUUUGUCAAGAGAGUGAAAUAAGGAAACGAACUCAAGCAGGGCUGAGGGAAGCCUAUUGAUGGCAGGUUCAGUUCACUAAAGGAGAUGUGAGGAGGGAAGGGCAAAUGCUUAUAAUAUGUAUCAAUGUAUCAACAUCAAUCCGCCAUCUUAGAACGCGAUAUCGAUUUACUUUAUCUCAAUGACAUAUGGUUAAAUGCGCUUGUUUGUGCUGGGUGCAUAAUUGGACAGUCUAAACUACCAUCUUAGAUAACUUUAUAGUAAAUUAUCUACAGUCACACAUAGUCCCGUAAUUAGAAACAGACUAUUAAUGCACACAAAAGAUAGAAAGUACUUAAUAUUAGUCUGUCGGUCUGAGAGCGAGGGUACUGGCUAUUCUUGGGCGGUGCAACGAUUUACCGUAUAAAGUGUCUUGGGACGCUUGCUUAAUCUUGUAAAA